GAUCCGGCGCCCAUCCGGAGCUUUAAUCCGUCGCGUUUAACGCCGCCGCCCGGUUUUCGUGCUCUUUCUGCUGCCGAAGGCUCCGCUGAGGAACGGCUGAUCGUCUUAAAGCAUGCUCGUAGGGUACGUAAAAUGGUUCCUCUAAACCGCAGGCAGAGGCGGCAGACCUGGAGGCCCGGAUUGUGCUGCAGAACAUCAGUGGAAAAACACCUCGCUAUCGUCUGGAACGGAUGCUGAUGGGCUGGCUGCAUCGCCUGCACCGAGGAGGACAGGAAUCCGGGUGAUCCCAAGUGUUUGUGAUGGAGCGGUGCAGUGAAACUUAGAUCUGGUUGUCUGCAAAGAUGUAAUAAAGUGUCAAAGACAAUCCCCCCUCACCUUUCAGUGGCCUUUGUUGCAGUGGAAUGAACAGCAUGCUGUGAUGCACGCAACGAGCCUGAUGAAUGACCUGUGGAAUGGUAGUUUGUCACAGCAGUGCAUGUCAGGACUUGAAGCAUACAAUCCUGCUCUUCUUUAACUUGAGUUUCACACAACUGAAUUUCAACAUCUCAACCUGUGCAACUUUUUCACUUUGAAGUAAUCCCCAAAUCCCCUCAUAAAACUAGUCUUUAGAAUCCACACUGGCCAAACUUUGUGUUUCUGGUUAGGAAGUGACAGUUCCUAUGGAGUCAUGUGUAGCGUUUGCUGAAUCCUUAAUCUGGUGUAAUAUUUUGCUACCCCUCUUUCCACUGUGUCGUAGCCUGAGGUAGUUGAACAGUUCUGUUGGUGGCCUGUAUCUGAAAAUGGGAGGCACAGGCUUGAACCAGCGGUUAUUCCUUGCCUUCCCUAGUUUUAACAGGCUUGACUUUGAAGCCAACAUUUAAUGUGUGAGUCACUAUACUGGUAAGUACUAUGCACCAUACAAAUGCAGCAAAGUGUCUGUUCCACACUUACAUGAGGUUUCCAGAGGUUGGUGUCUUUAUUCUGUAUAUAUGAUACUAAGAAACAUAAACCUUUGUGCUAUAUAAAUGUGAUUUUCGCUGUUGGCAUAGUCUUUCUCGGUUCUGUCCUGACUGUUCACAUUUGGUGUACUUCUCUUGUGAAGUUCAGAUGUUAUUAUGGGUCCCAGUAACCUAAGUUGCACGGAUCUCUUUUCUAAUGCUCUGACUUCAUAGGAGUUUCAAAGUGCCUUACAACAGUGGACUGUGAAAGCCUGGUGUGGGCUCACAGCAGUUUGGUUCUUAACCCUUUGUGCUAUGCCAUACACUGGCUGUGUUGCAUGAUUCACUCUGAUCACCUUCCUUUACAGGUGGAAAUUCUUCCUGCCAUGAAAUACACUGCUCUCUCAACACUCAUUCUUUAUUAAAUAGGGUGUGAUUGUCUCACUCAGAGAGGAACUACAUCAUUCCACCUUUUCCUGAGCAUGAUUUGAAUGUCAGAAUCAGCCCAACACAAUGCAAGAACAAAGCCAUGGAAUCAAGAAUUUGGGAAAAAAUGAGUGUCUUACCUCAUUUUUUUUCCUAGCAAGGAGUUCUGCCUUAUGUGGUGUGGGAUAGAGCUGUUUCUCAUGUUCAUAGCAACAUCUGUCUGGUCACUGUCGUUCAUAUCAAGUAGCAGAGCAAUUUGCUGAUUACCUCAAAAAGAGACAAAGAAUGAGACUUUUUUCAUGAAAUUUUUCAUGAAUUUUUCCUAUGUUGACAGACCUAAUUCCUGGCAUUGUACUCUCUGGGACAGUCAUUAAAUGAGUAGUCAAUGAAUCAAUCCUUACAAGACAUGCAGACUAAAAUGUUCAAAUGCAACUACCUGACCGUGAAUGAAAGGCACUGAUAUGAAAAUGCAACAACCCUUUGCACGGUGCCAAGUGUCAGUCUCAUGCUUGCUUAUCUCACAGGAGUGACAUCAUGGAUUUGAAUUCAUUAUUUAACCUAGAUAUUCUCAGCGAGACACUGGCUGUCAGAAGUGACUUUGUAAAUCAGUCUACGGGAGAUUGGAAAGGAGAGAAAUAGAUGAGAACGAAGAAACGUCUUGAAAGAAGAACCAGGAAACAGCAGAAUGUUUGGAUGUUGAGGAUCCUCCACCUCUACCAGUCAGAAUUCCUUGACUUCAAGUCUGUCUUUGCUUCAUGAACUAAGCAAAAAAAAAAAAAAAGGAAUUAAAAGACAAGGAAAAAAAAAA